ACAAUCUCAUAGGAAAGAAAGGCAAAAUUAGACUAAAAUUUUAUAUCCACGUUAUGAAAACAAUCUAAUCGCGCGAAUUAUAUUAGUGACAAGUUAUCACAAAUAGGAUAAUAUUGAAAAUUUAAGAAGAUAAUUCGUAAAUUUGGUAUUCAAACUUGAUGAAAUUUUUAGCCAACAAUUUAAAAAAAAAAAAAAAAUGUUACGCCAACACAGAGAAUGUGGUGGUGUGUGGUCGAGCAGUGUCACUGUGUUUACGCGCUUUAUCCCCGCCCUACUAUCCGUUAAUAUUGUCAAUAAGGGCUGCUCUUCGCUCCAAAAAUAAAUAAAUAAAAAUUAAAAAAAUUAACCAACAGGUCCAAAAGUUUGCUCAGAAUUGAUCAUAAUUGCAUACAAUCUCUUUGUCUCCCACCAACAUUCAGGUCGAAAAUCAUGGAGAAUCAACAGUUUGGAGAUGACAGCAACAGUGGAUCUAAACUAAUCAACAGCUCGGAAGAUGAACCAACGCUAGUUUCUCCUUUGUUAAAGAAGCAACUGGAGGUAUUUGUGAUCCAAACGUUCCACCAAGUUAUAAAGCCAAUUUUCGGGCCUUUGAUCCGUCCAGUUGUGAAAGAGGAAAUUGACUCAACACUAGAAACUAUUUUGUCUAGAAUGGACCGGAACUCCAGGAGUGAGACACAUCCGUCUGAGUCAAGAAUCUUACAACUACGUUUCUUAAUCCAACCCUCUCUUAAAAUACUGACUGGAGACCAAAUUGAAGGAGAAGAGAGUACCCCCAUCAAAGUAGCUUUAAUUGAUGGUUCUACUGAGGAAACUGUUAAAUGGGGUCCUGAAUCCUCUGCAAAGGUGGAAAUAGUUGCUCUUAAAGGAGAUUUUAAUGAUGUUGAAGGACAUGAUUGGACAACUGAAGAGUUUAACCAAAAGGUUGUUAGAGAAAGAGAAGGUAAAAAAUCCAUUCUUACUGGAGAUGCAUAUUUGAACUUGGAGGAAGGCCUUGGUACUUUAGGCAUUAUUCAUUUUACACAUAAUUCAAAUUGGAUGAAGAAGACUAUAUUGAGGCUUGGGGCAAGAGUGAUGGAUAGUUUCAGUUGCACUAGAGUAAGAGAAGCGAUAUCAGAACCCUUCACACUUGAGGAUUGCCGCAACUCACUGUACAAGAAGCACUAUCCUCCACAUCUUUCUGAUGAAGUGUGGAGAUUAGAUAAUAUUGCCAACGGUGGCGCUUUCCAUAAAAGGUUAAGCAGGGAAAACAUUACCAAUGUGAAGGAAUUUCUGACUCUGUCGUUUAUAAACCUUCAAAGACUCCAUGAUAUCAUUGGUACAGGAUCCAAGAGUCAGAUCAUGAUAAAUCAUGCUCGGACAUGUAUACUUGAUAAAAAAGUAUACUUGUACCCUUCCAGUUCGCAACAAAAAAAUGGGGUGGUUUUUAGUGUUGUGGGACAAUUGAUGGGGCGACUCUUGGAGUGCCAGUUUGUUCCUUUUGAUACGCUUUCUAAAACCGAAAAGGCUGAUGCUCACAAGUUGGUUGUUUCUGCAUUUGAACACUGGGAGGCUGUUGUUGCUUUUGAUGAUAUACCUUCUCUCAUGCAUGCUUGUUCUCAAACUCACCCCUCAAACUCACCCAGACUGGAGAAUCCUAGUGGCCAUAACGCCGGGACUGGUCACGCGAUCAAUGUAAACAAUGAUAUGCAGCCAAGUACCUCCAUCCAUUACAGUGAGGAUAUGAGUAAUAUGGAUGUUUGUGGCUACACUAUUGACAAUAUGGAGUUAUUGCAUACAAGUGAUCCAGGAGAAGUCCCCAGCUCUCUGAGCUUCGAUCCAGAAUCCAUGCUUCAAGAUUUUGAUGCCUUCGUUGAUUUUUCGUUUCGCAAUACUGAUUAUAACCCUAAACAGGGGAGCCUGACUGUGGAAUUAGCUGCUGCUGAACAAAGUGCUACCAGUAGUUCCCGGUUAGUCUGUGCUCAGGCCCGAGUUAGAUAGGGAAAGCUGUGCAGCGUGCUGAAAUGGGCCACAAUCAGAAGAGUUGUUAGAAGCAAUCAUGUCCAGAAAAGGCAGAGAUGCUAUUGAUGGGCCAUGCAGAAAAUGAUGCUUCAACUUCAAUAUGUAUAUAGAGAACUUGUAGGUGCUGCCCAUUGAAGAUUGUGUGCAGAUGUACAGAGAGACGAGCUGGCUUAUUUUUAAGAUUCGUAUACAGCAGAGUUUGCGAAGAGAUUAGAAGAAGUUGAUUUGAAAUGGAAAUCCAAGGACGUUGUUACAGUUCUGUGACUUGAAGCAAGUGAUGUGAGUUCAUUUCGUUGUGCAGAUUUCGUCAUGAAGAAGUUACUUAUGCAGGUUUUCUUUCUUCAAAAAAGAAGAGCCUUUUCUUUGAGACAUGGAUCAUAUGCCAAAGUUAGUUAUAUCCAAUGAGGCAAGUGAGAGCAACAACGGCACUUGCCAAACAGCAUGAGCGUAAUCCAUUAUUAAGAGAAGUGGAACAGAGAUUGGAAGGAAAUGGAAGAUGAGGAGGGUGCAAAUGACAUGAUUAUUUAGUAUUAUUAUCUUGAAAUUUCAGUCCUACUCUGGAGCUCUAACAAGCUCAUUUAUAAUUUGUCCCUGGUUCUCAAACACAGUUAAUCUUUUUUAACUCUUCUUUCUUAAAAUGCUCUCUAUGUAUCUUGAAGGCCUGGAGCAUGGUAUAUGGAACGAUAUAUCAAAUGUAGGUCUGUAGUUGUUUAAUUCCUGUAUCUCUCUCUUAUUAGAAUGAAAUAUUAAGAAAAUAAAAUUAAUGCUUUAGAAGGGGACAUGCACUUUUGCCCCUAUGGACUUUGUACAGGAAGCGAUGAUGUACCACUAGGUUAAGCGUUGGUGGUCACCAUUAUACAUAAUUAAAGAAGAAAAAAAUUCAGUUCUAGAAAAAUUUAAAGAUUUUUUUUAUUUUUAUUUUUUUUAUAUGGAAAAAUAUACAAGAAUAAAUAAACAAUAAAAACAAUUUUUUGAGGGGGGUGUGGGGAAAAAAAAUCUAAAAGAUAAUAAAAAUUAUGCAAAUAACAAAAUAAAUAACAUAACAUAGCAAUUGGUAAAGAAGCACAUGCUGCGGUGUUGGCAGGGAUUCGGAAGGUAAGUCUUUGAGAUGUCGUUUUUAAACCGCACUCUUGACUUGAAUAGAGUGUGUUGUGGGGCCGAUACACGUGCUAAGAGAAAAUAAAAUAAAAUAAAAAAAUAAAAAUGCACCAGUAUUAAAAUUAUCAUUGUGUCUAUUUAUUAUUUUAAAUUUCACAAAGAUAUGCUCUAUCUCUAUAGGAUGGGAAGAAGAUAAAAAAGGUUAAAAUAAAAAAUAAAAAAAAUAAAAUAAAGCACCAGUAUUAAAAUUAUCAUUGUGUCUAUUUAUUAUUUUAAAUUGCACAAAGAUAUACUCUAUCUCUAUAGGAUGGGAAGAAGAUAAAAAAGGUAAAAAUAAUAAUAAUAAUAAUAAUAAUAAAAAUAAAAAAAUCCAAUCACUCCAUGAAAGUAUAUAUAAUGGUGCAUCAGUCCAUAGCAAUUUAUUUAUAGCCUUUACGUAUACAUCCGUAAAUUCAUCAACUGUAACUGAUAAGUGCUAAAAUAUGCAUAUUUUAACCCAUAAUCUUGGGUAUAAUAGAACAUUUAUCUAUCUUUUUUUUUUUCCGUUUUAAUCUUAAUUUG